rnacentral:rRNA from 1 species
GAAACUAAGGGCGUACGGUGGAUGCCUUGACUAGAAGAUGGUGAUGAAGGACGCGGCUUGGCGGCGAUACACUUCGGGGAGGUGCCUAGCAACCUUUGAUCCGGAGAUGUCCGAAUGGGGAAACCCGGUUCCGUAUAACGGGAUCACUCUAUGAAUUACAUAGAGAACGCAUCCGGUGAAGUAAAACAUUUCAGUAACCGGAAGAAAAGAGAACAAAAGUUAUUUCCUUAGUAGCGGCGAGCGAAAAGGAAGAAGCCCAAACUCAGUUACAAAUUUUGCCUGAAUUCUUAAGGUUUGACCUUGGGUAAUUCUAAAGGUCGAACCUUGAGGGCAAAAUUUGUUGCUGGGGGUUGUAAGACGAUGAGUUCGCAUUUAUGCGAGAACAGUCAAAAAACGUCUGGUUAGGAGAAGCUUCUGGAAAGAAGCGCCCUAGAGAGUAAUAGUCUCGUAACCGAAAAUCAGACGCCUGUUUUUCAUCGUUCUUGAGUACUUCGAGACACGAAUAGCUCGGAGGAAUCUGCCGGAACUAACCGGUAAGGCUAAAUACACUUCUAGAUCGAUAGUGAACUAGUACCGUGAGGGAAAGGUGAAAAGCAGCCCGGAAGGGCGGUGAAAUAGACCUGAAACCGUAUGUCUACAAGGAGUGGGAGCCGUGCUUCGCACAGAAUUUUCAAGUAUCAAUUUUCAAUUUUCAUUGAAUUUUCAAUGAAUCAAUUUGGAAAUUGUAAAUUCUAAAUUGAAAAUUCCGCGCGGAGCGCGGUCACCGCGUGCCUAUUGAAGAAUGAGCCAACGAGUUGAUGCAUCGCGCUUGCCUAAGUGCUUAACAGCAUGGAGGCGCAGGGAAACCGAGUGUGAAUAGCGCGUUUACCCCGUGGUCGCUUGCGACUUUACGGGGUUGUGCGAUGCAUCAGACCCGAAGCCAGAGCGAGCUUGUCAUGAGCAGGGUGAAUCACGCCGAAAGGCAUGAGGAGGCCCGAACCGGUGAGCCGUGCAAUACUCUCGGAUGACUUGUGAUAAGAAGUGAAAAGCUAAUCGAGCCUGGUAAUAGCUGGUUCUCUCCGAA